UACGAAGGGGGCUAGCGUUGCUCGGAAUCACUGGGCGUAAAGGGUGCGUAGGCGGGUCUUUAAGUCAGGGGUGAAAUCCUGGAGCUCAACUCCAGAACUGCCUUUGAUACUGAGGAUCUUGAGUACGGGAGAGGUGAGUGGAACUGCGAGUGUAGAGGUGAAAUUCGUAGAUAUUCGCAAGAACACCAGUGGCGAAGGCGGCUCACUGGCCCGUAACUGACGCUGAGGCACGAAAGCGUGGGGGAGCAAACAGG
rnacentral:rRNA from 1 species